UAAUUGUCUUCGGGCAUUUUAUAUAUUCGCUUGUGCGACUGCGCCGAACCUACUUCGAAAGUAAAAUUUUUAAGUGGGUAAUCCAUUAGAAGUAAUGACUCGCAUAGACCAUGGCACACUAUAUGUACGCGCAGGUCUACCCGGCUCGCCUUUGUGUGAGUGCAGUGCGUAGCUUGUUGUUUCGUACGUGCCACUCCGUAUUAAUUCGUACGUGGGGAUAGAUCAUUGUUUAAUUGUUGGUCUCGGUCUUAACUAGGAAUGCCUUGUACGGGUCUUUGGUUCAACAUACCACCCGGAAUACGUCCCUGCCCUUUGUACACACCGCCCGUCGCUCUUACCGAUGGAUUAUACUAUGAAUCUAUAGGACUGCCAAAGCUUUGCGGCGUGUUCGCACACCGCGCUUAGUGGAAAUAUAUAUGAAUAGUGGAUC
rnacentral:rRNA from 1 species